CUCGGACCGCCAAGAAUGUUGGGAAGCUUGAGUUUGUUUUUCCUGUUUGCAGAUAACUCGCCGUUCCUUGUUGCUUGCGAGACCCCGCUCCCUCCGGACGGACUGAGGUGGCUUCCUUUACUGAUAUCCGUCUGUGCUUUUCGUUGAGGAAACAUCUGACCUUAUGAUGUGCCGGAUCCUGGAGACCCGAGACACAUCGGCUCGCUUUUCAGGUUUGGGAUGCACAAAGAUGAGAAAUAAAAAGGAAAAAGAUUUCCAGAAAGAAGCCAUAAGAUUCAAGGUAUCACAGUCCAAGCUAAUGUCCACAGAUUCUUGACUAAAUGAUCUGAGAAAAUUGGAUUCAUGACAAACGAAGCUUACUAGACUAAGGCAAGGAACUUUGAUUCACUUACACAUCACUUGCAGUGUCUGAGUCAUAGGCUGGUCCGUUGACCGUGGUAUAGCCCCUGUGCUGUAUUUUACCCUGGCUUUCCUAGCUCUUUGAACAGAAAGAUGAUAGAGAAAUCUAAGAUACAGGAGAAGGGAACAGAAAGGACCCAACAAGCAUGAACCAGACUGGGGUAACUAGAAGAUUCUAAUUUUGGCACCAGGAAGAAAUUCUUCCCAUGCUUCAUUUGGGAAAUGCUGGGCCCUGGUGGAAAAAAAAAAAAGAGAUACAACAAAUGAGGACAAAGCAAAAACAGAUUGUGCCUGAUUUGUGUCAGAGUGGAGCACAGAGGACUUCUGGAUUAGGUGGAGAGAAUACCCAGGCAUCUCCAUGGCCCUGCUGAUGGUUCCAGAACUUCAUCCAGUCAGUGAUGAGCUACAUGUACACCUGGAGGAGAUUGCUAUGACUGAUUGGGUGUGCCAUGAGUCAGCUACCAACCUGCCACCAUACUACCACCAUGGGAGACACCUGAGACUUCUUCACAUUUGAUUAAUAAGCGCAACAG